UACGUAGGUGGCAAGCGUUGUCCGGAUUUACUGGGCGUAAAGAGCGCGCAGGCGGUUAUUCAAGUCGAAAUGUGAAAGCCCCCGGCUUAACUGGGGAGGGUCAUUCGAUACUGUUUAACUUGAAGGCAGGAGAGGGUAGUGGAAUUCCCGGUGUAGUGGUGAAAUGCGUAGAUAUCGGGAGGAACACCAGUGGCGAAGGCGACUACCUGGCCUGUUCUUGACGCUGAGGCGCGAAAGCUGGGGGAGCAAACGGGG
rnacentral:rRNA from 1 species